rnacentral:rRNA from 1 species
AUUGAACGCUGGCGGCAUGCCUAACACAUGCAAGUCGAACGAGUGGCGGACGGGUGAGUAAUAUAUGGGCACGUGCCCAAUCGCGGGGGAUCACUACUCGAAAACGUGUUAAUACCGCAUACCAUCUUCGCUGCCGAUAUCGGAUUAGCUGGUUGGUGGGUUAAAGGCUCACCAAGGCGACGAGCCCUAGCUGGUUUGAGAGGAGGACCAGCCAAACUGGGACUGAGACACGGCCCAGACUCCUACGGGAGGCAGCAGUGGGGAAUUUUGGACAAUGGGGGAAAGCCGGAGGCAGCCAUGCCGCGUGUAGGAAGAAGGCCUCCGGGUUGUAAAGUACUUUUGGCGGAGAGGCGGUACCCGCAGAAUAAGCACCGGCUAACUACGUGCCAGCAGCCGCGGUAAUUC